AUGGUCUUCUAAGCCUUUCACAUGAUGACAUCCAUCACUUAGUCAGAGAGGGUAGUUGGGGGUGCUCAAGCUUAGCUCUCUAUAAAUAGGGCUUCACCUUAAGGCCUAAACCACUUCGAUUGUCUUCCAUGAUGUCACCUUGCUCGGUGUUACAAGAUCGUGAUGGCAUGCUUCUGACCAGGGAAGCAUUCCCACAUUUCUGAUCAGCCACAGUGCGCCUCAAUGGAGCAUGUCGGUGGGCAAUCUUUUUGGCAUGG
rnacentral:lncRNA from 1 species